rnacentral:rRNA from 1 species
AACGCUGGCGGCGUGCUUAACACAUGCAAGUCGAACGUGAAAGUAGCAAUAUGAGUAAAGUGGCGUACGGGUGAGUAACACGUGGGUAAUCUACCUUAGAGUCUGGAAUAACCUGCCGAAAGGCGGGCUAAUACUGGAUAGUUCAAGCGCAUUGUAAUUGGUGCGAUUGGGAAAGGGAGCUGGUAACAGCCUUCGCUUUAAGAUGAGCCCGCGUCUGAUUAGCUAGUUGGUAAGGUAAUGGCUUACCAAGGCGACGAUCAGUAGCUGGUCUGAGAGGAUGAUCAGCCACACUGGAACUGAAACACGGUCCAGACUCCUACGGGAGGCAGCAGUGGGGAAUCUUGCGCAAUGGACGAAAGUCUGACGCAGCCACGCCGCGUGAGUGAAGAAGGCCUUCGGGUUGUAAAGCUCUGUCGGAGGGGACAAAGACUAUGUGAGUUAAUAGCUCAUGUACUUGAUGGUACCCUUAAAGGAAGCACCGGCUAACUUCGUGCCAGCAGCCGCGGUAAUACGAAGGGUGCAAGCGUUGCUCGGAAUUAUUGGGCGUAAAGGGUUGGUANGUGGUUACGUAUGUCUGGGGUGAAAU